CGUCCGUGGCCGCGGGAGGCCACACGCUGGCCAUCCAGCGCCUCCCCGCGGCAGUUAAGAGCACCCCCGAGCCCCCUGGAACCCUAGCACGUUCCUCAUCCCCUCUUCUCGCCCCUCUACUCCCCACAGCGCAGACCCGCAGCCGCCGUUGCCAUGGGCUGCCUCCCCGCCGCGCUCCCCGUCGACCAUGCGCCCUUGGAACACGUCAAGAAGCUCUGUGGUGCUCCCCUGCUUUGACUAAGCCGCUGGAUCGGAGCCAGGAGGUCACCACGACGACGCGCGCGUCCACUUCCUCGCCUUCGGCCGCCGUCGUCCUCCCCGUCGAUUAGCUCCGCCCCGACCCCCUCCGGCUUCAACGAGCGGCUCCCCGUCACCGAUGUAGACCUCGAGACUGCCGGCGACCCCCAGUUCAACUAUGGUGUUGACGACCCUUCCUUCUUGCCAUAGCAACCAGAUGUUGGAGCCCCGGAGCCAGACGCCACCGUUGACGAUGACCCCUACUACACCGGAGGUGCCUACUACUACGUGCAGGCCGCUGACGACGACCAGGAGUAGUUUAGGAGGAUCCCAGGCAGGAGGCAUCCGCCUCUUUCGAUCUGUAUCCCAGUUUUUGCUAGCCUUCUUAAGGCAAACUUGUUUACUUAUGUCUAUACUCAGAUAUUGUUGCUUCCACUGACUCAUCUAUGAUCGAGCACUUGUAUUCGAGCCCUCGAGGCCCCU
rnacentral:rRNA from 1 species